AAAUGUCUUUUGGUUUCAACCUGUGAAAUAGACCACUCUACUUUUAAUUCCUUAAUAUAAUUUCCAUGAAGGUGGGUAUUCUCACUUCUGGAUUACUCAUGAUUCACCCUUCAGUUCCUGCAAAAAGGCCAAUUGCAGUCAAGGAUGAGAUAGAUUGCAUGCCCUAUCCAACUACAGUCGAUUCGAUCAGUUCAUCAAGACUCAAGAAAGUAUUAAAAAAAAAAAAAAAAGAAAAAAAAAA